CGGCCGCGGUAUCCUGACCGUGCAAAGGUAGCAUAAUCACUUGUUCCUUAAUUAGGGACUAGCAUGAAUGGCCAAACGAGGAUUCAACUGUCUCUUAUUUUCAANUCAGUGAAAUUGACCUUUCAGUGAAGAGGCUGAAAUACUAAAAUAAGACGAGAAGACCCUAUGGAGCUUAAAUUAAAAGUUUAAUUUUACUUCCACCAGCCUAAUGGUACAACACAAAAAUUUUAAACUCUAAAUUUCGGUUGGGGUGACCUCGGAGAACAAAAAAUCCUCCGAAUGAUUUUAACAUAGACCAACAAGUCAAAGUAACCUAAAAAUCUAAUUGACCCAAAAAUCUUUGAUCAACGGACCAAGUUACCCUAGGGAUAACAGCGCAAUCCUAUUUUAGAGUCCAUAUCGACAAUAGGGUUUACGACCUCGAUGUUGGAUCAGGACAUCCCAAUGGCGCA
rnacentral:rRNA from 1 species